CUGGUUACACCUACAACCUGUGGGAGAAGGGGCUGAAGAGAAGCCAUGGGGAAAGAGAUCUGAGGGUUUAGGCUGAUGGCAAAUUGAAUAUGAGUCAACAAUGCAUCCUGGCAACCAGAAGAGCCAACAGCAUCCUGGGGUGCAUCAGGCACAGCACCCUAGUUGGCUCUGGCUCAACCUCACAGUGAGUCCUGUCUCUACUUUUGGGUGCCAUAUUACAAGAAAGACCUAAAGCUAUUAGAGAGCAUCCAGAGGAGGACAACCAAGAUGCUGGAUGGCCUCAAGACCAAGAUUUAUGAGGAACGAUUGAGGUCCCUCAGUUUGUUCCAUUUGGAGAAGAGAAGACUGAGGGGAGACCUCAUCACAGUCUGCAACCUCCUCAAGAGCUGCAAGUUGGGACAGUGACCUGUCACAGAGGGAGCUGGCAGGGGCCUGCCCUGAGCACACAGCCACAGUAAAAGCAAGGGAGAAGCCAAGAGCAGAGCCAUCGUUGCAGCACUAUGAACAGAAGCUCAGUGCUCCAGUAAGGCUGCCAUUAACUGCAAGCAGGACAGACAGAAAGUAUGCAGGAUGACCCAAAUGCCAGCCAUACCAGCCCCUUGUGUACUGGCAGCAUCACAGGCUGGUUCCAGAGGCCAUCGUAGCUCAGGUGUGCUCACAUCAGACUUGCCAGGAAAAUGCAUUCCAGCAGCUUGGGGUUUCAGAUGCUUCUUGCCUACCCAUUAAGUGAUUUAAGUGAGCUACCCACACAGUGUUACCUAGUGACUAUGAAGUUAAGACUUACUGGAGGCCAAGCUCACCCACUAUUAUUUCCUAGUUAUGUUUUAUUUCUUAUCUGGAAAUCGCAAAACUGAAGAUGUAUGUUACAAGUAAGUGCAUUUAACUACUGGAGGCACUCCUAAGACUGAGGAGCUCAUACAAGAUAGAGGGAGAUGCUUAUCAGAGGAAGUCAUUGCCUGCACACUGACCAGCAAAACAGAUGGACCACAUAUGCCAUCACUGAUAGCAAGCCUCCUCAUCUGGAUGAGGCCUGCUGUGCCACCACAUAGCAGGUCUCAUCCAAAAUCAGAAUGAAUCUGCACCAGAGACUGGAACAGAAAUGAAAUCAGUUGAAGCUGAAAUGGAACACACUCAGCAGAAGGGGCUGAGGAGGGGCAUGGAGUAGGAGGCCUACAAAACUGUGAGGCUAAAGGAGCAGAGGAAGAAAAAUAACAGUGGGAGGUGAGAGGGAGGGUAGAGAGAACAUAAAAUGCCAAAGGGGAUGGGGAAGAAAAAAGUGGAAGAUCAAGUCAAGAUGUCAAGCUUCCUUGUCAAAAUACAUAGGUGACAAAGCCAGACAUAGUUAGAGACA